CAACUUCUUCUGCAGUCGAGAUUCCUACGGGAGGCAGCAGUAGGGAAUAUUGGUCAAUGGACGAGAGUCUGAACCAGCCAUGCCGCGUGCAGGAAGACGGCCUUCUGGGUUGUAAACUGCUUUUCUCAGGGAAGAAAAUGGUCUUGCGAGACAAAUUGCCGGUACCUGAGGAAUAAGCACCGGCUAACUCCGUGCCAGCAGCCGCGGUAAUACGGAGGGUGCGAGCGUUGUCCGGAUUUAUUGGGUUUAAAGGGUGCGUAGGCGGCCUAUUAAGUCAGUGGUGAAAGGUAUCAGCUUAACUGAUGAUGUGCCAUUGAAACUGACAGGCUUGAGUACAGACGAGGUAGGCGGAAUUUAUGGUGUAGCGGUGAAAUGCAUAGAUACCAUAAAGAACACCGAUAGCGAAGGCAGCUUACUAGGCUGAGACUGACGCUGAGGCACGAAAGCGUGGGGAGCGAACAGGAUUAGAUACCCUGGUAGUCCACGCUGUAAACGAUGAUUACUGGAUGUGUGCGAUAAACAGUACGCGUCUGAGCGAAAGCGUUAAGUAAUCCACCUGGGGAGUACGAUCGCAAGAUUGAAACUCAAAGGAAUUGACGG
rnacentral:rRNA from 1 species